GACGAACGCUGGCGGCGUGCUUAACACAUGCAAGUCGAACGAUGAAGCCCAGCUUGCUGGGUGGAUUAGUGGCGAACGGGUGAGUAACACGUGGGCAACCUGCCCCAAACUCUGGGAUAACUCCUCGAAAGAGGUGCUAAUACCGGAUACGAACUAGACAGACAUCUGUACUAGUUGGAAAGUUUUUCGGUUUGGGAUGGGCCCGCGGCCUAUCAGCUUGUUGGUGAGGUAACGGCUCACCAAGGCUACGACGGGUAACCGGCCUGAGAGGGCGAACGGUCACACUGGGACUGAGACACGGCCCAGACUCCUACGGGAGGCAGCAGUGGGGAAUAUUGCGCAAUGGGCGAAAGCCUGACGCAGCGACGCCGCGUGAGGGAUGAAGGUCUUCGGAUCGUAAACCUCUUUCAGUAGGGACGAAGCGAAAGUGACGGUACCUAAAGAAGAAGCACCGGCUAACUACGUGCCAGCCGCCGCGGUAA
rnacentral:rRNA from 1 species